UACGUAGGGUGCAAGCGUUGUCCGGAAUUAUUGGGCGUAAAGAGCUCGUAGGCGGUCUGUCGCGUCUGCUGUGAAAACUCAGGGCUUAACCCUGAGCUUGCAGUGGGUACGGGCAGACUAGAGGUGCGGUAGGGGAGACUGGAAUUCCGUGGUGUAGCGGUGAAAUGCGCAGAUAUCAGGAGGAACACCGGUGGCGAAGGCGGGUCUCUGGGCCGUAACUGACGCUGGAGGAGCGAAAGCAUGGGGAGCGAACAGG
rnacentral:rRNA from 1 species